GCCGCAGUCAGAAAGAAAACCCCGAGAUGUUGGAUCCCGCUGCGCCCUGGAGCCCCUUCCAUCCGCACCCACUUCCCACGCAAUUAAGAGAAACCAAACCGUGCGGAAUCCUCGGGGAGAAAAAGAAAAAAAUCCGGACAAAAAUCCCUUUGGUGCCGGAGAACCCAAUUAAUAAGAAGAAAAAGUCGGGGAGGGAAUCGAUCACACCUAUCUCAGUAAUUCUAUUUCUUCGCAGGGCGAACUGGAAAUGCCGACGGUGUGCAGAAGCGAAACGAUCCCACAGUUCAGAUGCGGCAAAGCUUCUAAAUUAAUCGAAUAAGACUUGAAGUCGCAACAGGAGCUUUGAGCGAAGCGAUUAAGGCCAAACAUCGGGAAAUAAUUCAGAAUUUCCCGGCUUUGCUCCAAGCGGGAUUUCCCUGCGGUGUUUCUGGAGUCCCCGAUUCGUUUCCCGCUGGAUGGUGCA